AGCAGCUGUGGUAAUUCCAGCUCCAAUAGCGUAUAUUAAAGUUGUUGCAGUUAAAAAGCUCGCAGUUGAAUUUCGGGGUUAGUAGGUUGGUCGUGCCACUGGUAUGUACUGGUCUCACUGAUUCCUCCUUCCUGAUGAACCGUAAUGCCAUUAAUUUGGUAUUGCAGGGAGACUGGACUGUUACUUUGAAAAAAUUAGAGUGUUUAAAGUAGGCUAACGCUUGAAUACAUUAGCAUGGAAUAACAGAAUAGAACGUUCGAUCUUAUUUUGUUGGUUUCUAAGAUUGAUGUAAUGAUUAAUAGGGAUAGUUGGGGUAUUAGUAUUCAAUUGUCAGAGGUGAAAUUCUUGGAUUUUAUUGAAGACUAACUACUGUGAAAGCAUUUGCCAAGGAUGUUUUCAUUAAUCAAGAACGAAAGUUAGGGGAUCGAAGACGAUCAGAUACCAUCGUAGUCUUAACCAUAAACUAUGCUGACUAGGGAUCGGAUGAUAUUAAUUUUU
rnacentral:sRNA from 1 species